rnacentral:rRNA from 1 species
GAUGAACGCUAGCGGCAGGCUUAAUACGUGCAAGUCGAGGGGCAGCACAGGUAGCAAUACUGGGUGGCGACCGGCAAACGGGUGCGGAACACGUACACAACUUACCUUAGAGUGGGGGAUAGCCCAGGGAAACUUGGAUUAAUACCCCAUAAAACAGGGGGCCCGCAUGGGCAUAUUGUUAAAGAUUUAUCGCUUUAAGAUGGGUGUGCGUAUGAUUAGGUAGUUGGUAGGGUAAAGGCCUACCAAGCCGACGAUCAUUAACUGGUGUGAGGGCACGACCAGUCACACGGGCACUGAGACACGGGCCCGACUCCUACGGGAGGCAGCAGUAAGGAAUAUUGGUCAAUGGACGGAAGUCUGAACCAGCCAUGCCGCGUGAAGGAUGAAGGUCCUCUGGAUUGUAAACUUCUUUUAUAGGGGGCGAAAAAGGGCCAUUCUUGGUCAACUGACGGUACCCUAUGAAUAAGCACCGGCUAACUCCGUGCCAGCCGCCGCGGUAACAC